rnacentral:rRNA from 1 species
UGGGGAAUAUUGGACAAUGGGCGCAAGCCUGAUCCAGCCAUGCCGCGUGAGUGAUGAAGGUCUUAGGAUUGUAAAGCUCUUUCACCGGUGAAGAUAAUGACGGUAACCGGAGAAGAAGCCCCGGCUAACUUCGUGCCAGCAGCCGCGGUAAUACGAAGGGGGCUAGCGUUGUUCGGAAUUACUGGGCGUAAAGCGCAUGUAGGCGGAUAUUUAAGUCAGGGGUGAAAUCCCGCAGCUCAACUGCGGAACUGCCUUUGAUACUGGGUAUCUUGAGUAUGGAAGAGGUGAGUGGAAUUCCGAGUGUAGAGGUGAAAUUCGUAGAUAUUCGGAGGAACACCAGUGGCGAAGGCGGCUCACUGGUCCAUUACUGACGCUGAGGUGCGAAAGCGUGGGGAACAAACAGGAUUAGAUACCCUGGUAGUCCACGCCGUAAACGAUGAAUGUUAGCCGUCGGGCAGUAUACUGUUCGGUGGCGCAGCUAACGCAUUAAACAUUCCGCCUGGGGAGUACGGUCGCAAGAUUAAAACUUAAAUGAAUUGACGGGGUCAUAGCUGUUUCCU